GAAUCCCGUAUAUGGCACGGACUCCCGUUGCUCUGUGAUACACUCUCAACGAGUCGAGUUGUUUGGGAAUGCAGCUCUAAAUGGGUGGUAAAUGCCAUCUAAAGCUAAAUAUUGGCGAGAGACCGAUAGCGAACAAGUACCGUGAGGGAAAGAUGAAAAGCACUUUGGAAAGAGAGUGAAACAGUACGUGAAAUUGUUGAAAGGGAAACGCUUGAAGUCAGUCGCGCCGUUCGGGAUUCAGCCUUGCUUCUGCUCGGUUUACUUCCCGUUGGGUGGGUCAACAUCAGUUUCGGACGGAGGAGAAAGACUUGGGGAAGGUAGCAGCAUUCGUGCUGUGUUAUAGCCCCUUGUUGUAUACUUCGAUUGGGACUGAGGACCGCAGCACGCCUUUGGCCGGGGUUCGCCCACGUACGUGCUUAGGAUGUUGGCAUAAUGGCUUUAAGCGACCCGUCUUGAAACACGGACCAAGGAGUCUAACAUGUGCGCGAGUGUUUGGGUGUUAAACUCGGACGCGAAAUGAAAGUGAAAGGUUGGGAACACUUAUGUGUGCACCAACGCCCGGAGCUGACCUUCUGUGACGCAUCUGCGGUAGAGCGUAUAUGUUGGGACCCGAAAGAUGGUGAACUAUGCCUGAAUAGGGUGAAGCCAGAGGAAACUCUGGUGGAGGCUCGUAGCGAUUCUGACGUGCAAAUCGAUCGUCAAAUUUGGGUAUAGGGGCGAAAGACUAAUCGAACCAUCUAGUAGCUGGUUCCUGCC
rnacentral:rRNA from 1 species